rnacentral:rRNA from 1 species
UCGGGAAUAUUGCGCAAUGGAGGAAACUCUGACGCAGUGAUGCCGCGUGCAGGAAGAAGGUUUUCGGAUUGUAAACUGCUUUAGACAGGGAAGAAAAAAGACAGUACCUGUAGAAUAAGCUCCGGCUAACUACGUGCCAGCAGCCGCGGUAAUACGUAGGGAGCAAGCGUUAUCCGGAUUUAUUGGGUGUAAAGGGUGCGUAGACGGGAAAUCAAGUUGGUUGUGAAAUCCCUCGGCUUAACUGAGGAACUGCAACCAAAACUAAUUUUCUUGAGUGCUGGAGAGGAAAGUGGAAUUCCUAGUGUAGCGGUGAAAUGCGUAGAUAUUAGGAGGAACACCAGUGGCGAAGGCGACUUUCUGGACAGUAACUGACGUUGAGGCACGAAAGUGUGGGGAGCAAACA